UCGGACGAAGUGCACUUAUUUACGUAGUUAUGAAUUUCCGUUAAGGGCACAUCGUUCGAGC
rnacentral:pre_miRNA from 1 species